rnacentral:rRNA from 1 species
UACGUAGGGACCAAGCGUUGUUCGGAUUUACUGGGCGUAAAGGGCGCGUAGGCGGCGCGGUAAGUCACUUGUGAAAUCUCUGAGCUUAACUCAGAACGGCCAAGUGAUACUGCAGUGCUAGAGUGUGGAAGGGGCAAUCGGAAUUCUUGGUGUAGCGGUGAAAUGCGUAGAUAUCAAGAGGAACACCUGAGGUGAAGACGGGUUGCUGGGCUGACACUGACGCUGAGGAGCGAAAGCCAGGGGAGCAAACGGG